rnacentral:rRNA from 1 species
UACGAAGGGGGCUAGCGUUGUUCGGAAUUACUGGGCGUAAAGCGCACGUAGGCGGAUAUUUAAGUCAGGGGUGAAAUCCCCAGAGCUCAACUCUGGAACUGCCUUUGAUACUGGGUAUCUAGAGUAUGGAAGAGGUGAGUGGAAUUCCGAGUGUAGAGGUGAAAUUCGUAGAUAUUCGGAGGAACACCAGUGGCGAAGGCGGCUCACUGGUCCAUUACUGACGCUGAGGUGCGAAAGCGUGGGGAGCAAACAGG